AUUGAACGCUAGCGGGAUGCCUUACACAUGCAAGUCGAACGGCAGCGCGGACUUCGGUCUGGCGGCGAGUGGCGAACGGGUGAGUAAUGUAUCGGAACGUGCCCAGUAGCGGGGGACAACCACUCGAAAGAGUGGCUAAUACCGCAUACGCCCUACGGGGAAAGGGGGGAGUCGCAAGACCUCUCACUAUUGGAGCGGCCGAUAUCGGAUUAGCUAGUUGGUGGGGUAAAGGCCUACCAAGGCGACGAUCCGUAGCUGGUUUGAGAGGACGACCAGCCACACUGGGACUGAGACACGGCCCAGACUCCUACGGGAGGCAGCAGUGGGGAAGUUUUGGUACAAUGGGGGAAACCCGUGAUCCAGCCAUUCCGCGUGUGCGAUGAAGGCCUUCGGGUUG
rnacentral:rRNA from 1 species